AGCAAGCGUUGUUCGGAAUCACUGGGCGUAAAGGGAGUCUAGGCGGUUUGGUAAGUGGGAUGUGAAAUCCCCGGGCUCACCCCGGGACCUGCAUCCCAAACUGCUGAGCUUGAGUACAGGAGAGGGUGGGGGAAUUCCAGGUGUAGCGGUGAAAUGCGUAGAUAUCUGGAGGAACACCGGUGGCGAAGGCGCCCACCUGGCCUGCUACUGACGCUGAAGCUCGAAAGCUAGGGGAGCAAACGGG
rnacentral:rRNA from 1 species